CGAAGCGAGAAAAAAUCAAAGUUUUGUUUUCCUUUUACGCGAAUUUUGUUGGAGGAAGAUAAAAUUCCAUUGAUUAACUUGUUCCAGAACUCGCACCAACCAACGAUGUCAACAUUGCUGAUCUGUGCGUGCGGGUGGAAUUGCUGUGGUUCUGUUUGGUGUUCCCGGUGCGUUCAUCCCAGGCCGCUCCGAAAUUCCAUCUGGACGGGUGUUGACAAAAACUUCCUGUGAGUGCCGGCCAACUAUUUAGUUGUGAUGACCUCCCGCGGAAGAGUCCAUAACACAGCUGGCGUGGCGCGAAAUACGAAAGAGUUGAACCUAUACAUCGAAUUCCUCCGCUGGAUGGGGGCUGCUCGAUUGAUCAACCAGCGCUUUAGUUCCGGCAACGUUGAUGCUGUUCACGGAAGCGAAUCAAUUUAUAGGGCAGAACAUUCUACCUGAGUUUGCUCGCUGAGGACGAAGAAAGUUAUUGGCCAUUCCGAUGGCACAUCACAGGCUUCUGAAAACUCACAACGAUUGUCUAAAGGUUGGCAGUCGGAAGUUGAAUAACUCGAGACUGAAGGUGUGAGCAUUGAUGACAGAAUCGCUGGCCCGUUCUCGUUGCCAGCAAAGUAGGGCCAAAAAUUUGAAUUUGACCAGAGCUGCUCUUUUGGUUAUUAUGUCGAUUGGGACAAACCUAUCAGAACAAAGACUUGUAUGAAGAUGGUUCUGGAACGAGCACUACCAAAUGAUAAAGGCAUCCGGGAAGUUGUAACUGACCGCAACCAGUGGGAAAAAGUGUCUCCAAUCAAAAAAUCGUUGAAUAAGAGGGGAGGACCGUGAAGUUUGUUAAUCUCCUAAGAUUCUUAUAUAAGACAUCGAUUAGCAGAUUUAUCACCGAAUGCAAACCAUUAAAGCGGGUCAGUUAUCGAGUAAGCUGGUUAACCACUUGUUUAUUAUUCGGUCGGUGGAUGAACCUGGUUGACACGAUGAAGAAUUGUGCGGAGUAAAAUGGUGGAGAAUAAAAAGAUAACAAAAUAUUAGAAUUUUUUAUUUAAACAUUAAUAUCACAAACCAAAAGAAACAAGGGCUUGAAAAAUAACUAAAAUUCUA